rnacentral:rRNA from 1 species
GACGAACGCUGGCGGCGUGCUUAACACAUGCAAGUGGUGCGACGAACCAGGCUUCGGCCUGGGGCGAAGCCGCGAACGGGUGAGUAACACGUGGGCAAUCUGCCCCUUUGAUCGGGACAACCCGGGGAAACCCGGGCUAAUACCGACUGAGGUGGCGACUCAUGAGAGUCGUCACGAAAGGCAGCUUCGGCCUCCGCGAAGGGAUGAGCCCGCGGCCCAUUAGCUUGUUGGUGGGGUCAUGGCCUACCAAGGCAACGAUGGGUAGCUGGUCUGAGAGGACGAUCAGCGACACUGGGACUGAGACACGGCCCAGACUCCUACGGGAGGCUGCAGUGGGGAAUCUUGCGCAAUGAGCGACAGCUUGACGCAGCAACGCCGCGUGAGGGAAGAAGGCUUUCGGGUCGUAAACCUCUUUCAGUUAGGACGAAGCUUUAUUGGUUAAUAACCAAUUGGAGUGACGGUACUUUCAGAAGAAGCCCCGGCUAACUACGUGCCAGCCGCCGCCGUAA